rnacentral:rRNA from 1 species
GACGAACGCUGGCGGCGUGCUUAACACAUGCAAGUCGAACGGAAAGGCCCUGCUUUUGUGGGGUGCUCGAGUGGCGAACGGGUGAGUAACACGUGAGUAACCUGCCCUUGACUUUGGGAUAACUUCAGGGAAAUGGGGCUAAUACCGGAUAGGAUCUCCUGCUGCAUGGUGGGGGUUGGAAAGAUUCGGCGGUUGGGGAUGGACUCGCGGCUUAUCAGCUUGUUGGGGGGGUAGUGACGUACCAAGGCUUUGACGGGUAGCCGGCCUGGGAGCGUGACCGGCCACAUUGGGACUGCGGGACGGCCCAGACUCCUACGGUCGGCAGCAGUGGGGAGUAUUGCACAAUGGGGGGACGCCUGAUGCAGCAACGCCGCGAGCGUGAUGACGUCCUUUGGGUUGUAAACCUAUUUCGCCUGUGACGAAGCGUGAGUGACGGUAAUGGGUAAAGAAGCACCGGCUAACUACGUG